UCAUUUCCUGGCAUUAAUAUUGGAAUAAAAGCAAAAAAUAAAUCCUCAUUAUCCCAGUAAACAUGACAAGAAAUCUUCAAAGAGGAACUUCAGGCAGAGAAACUUCAGGCAGAGACGGAGAGAAAGAAUAAAAUAACCACCCGCCUACACGAAGUCAAAGAGUCUGCCUUGGAAAAAGAGCAAGGAGGUGCGUCCUACGUGUGGAGGAAGGGUCCCAGGGUCCUGUGCAGCGCCCAGCUCCGGAUCAUGCUGCCAGGGCACUGUGCCAGCUCCAACUACCAGCCCAUCCCGCGCACCCGGCCCCUCCAUCUCGAGGACUACUCCUCCUUUAGGUGCUGGGACUGAUCUGACCGUGCACACUUUGCUGCUCUCUUGACUAACCAGCACUGGGAAAUGGAGACAUGUAACAUUCCAGAACUGCCACUUCAGCACUUGAAAGAGAGAGAGAGGGGGAAAAAAAAAGAAAGAAAAAAGACGGGGCAGCGGGGAGCGAGCUGGGCACGAGAUGGAUACGUAUUUCCAAGCUUAUGUAGGAGAUUAAAGCACAUUUUGCGAUUAA